UACAGAGGGGGCGAGCGUUGUUCGGAAUUACUGGGCGUAAAGAGCUCGUAGGCGGCUUGUCACGUCGGGUGUGAAAGCCCGGGGCUUAACCCCGGGUCUGCAUUCGAUACUACUUUGCUAGAGUAAGACAGAGGUGAGUGGAACUGAGGGUGGAGCGGUGAAAUGCGUUGAUAUCCUCAGGAACACCGGUGGCGAAGGCGACUCACUGGGUCUUUACUGACGCUGAUGCACGAAAGCUAGGGUAGCAAACGGG
rnacentral:rRNA from 1 species